AGCAGUAGCCGCGGUAAUACGUAGGGUGCAAGCGUUAAUCGGAAUUACUGGGCGUAAAGCGUGCGCAGGCGGUUCUAUAAGACAGAUGUGAAAUCCCCGGGCUCAACCUGGGAACUGCAUUUGUGACUGUAGAGCUGGAGUGCGGCAGAGGGGGAUGGAAUUCCGCGUGUAGCAGUGAAAUGCGUAGAUAUGCGGAGGAACACCGAUGGCGGAGGCAACCCCCUGGGCCUGCACUGACGCUCAUGCACGAAAGCGUGGGGAGCAAACAGGAUUAGAUACCCCCGUAGUCCCUGUCUCUUAUAC
rnacentral:rRNA from 1 species